UCUUAGGGCUGAGCAAAGAAAGUGGUUUCUUGAAAUGGAAUUACUCCUGGUGAAGAUGCUGUGAA
rnacentral:pre_miRNA from 1 species